GACGAACGCUGGCGGCGUGCUUAACACAUGCAAGUCGAACGGAAAGGCGCGUGCUUGCAGGGGUGCUCGAGUGGCGAACGGGUGAGUAACACGUGAGUAACCUGCCCAUCACUUUGGGAUAAGCUCUGGAAACUGGGUCUAAUACCGGAUAGGACCACCUGUUGCAUGGGGGGGGGGGGGAAGGUUUGGUCGGUGGGGGUUGGACUCGCGGCCUAUCAGCUUGUUGGCGGGGUAGUGGCCAACCAAGGCGUGGACGGGUAGCCGGCCUGAGAGGGUGACCGGCCACAUUGGGACUGAGAUACGGCCCAGACUCCUACGGGAGGCAGCAGUGGGGAAUAUUGCACAAUGGGCGGAAGCCUGAUGCAGCGACGCCGCGUGCGGGAUGACGGCCUUCGGGUUGUAAACCGCUUUCGGCUGGGACGAAGCGAAAGUGACGGUACUUGCAGAAGAAGCACCGGCUAACUACGUG
rnacentral:rRNA from 1 species